rnacentral:rRNA from 1 species
GACGAACGCUGGCGGCGUGCUUAACACAUGCAAGUCGAACGGAAAGGCCCUGCCUUUGUGGUGUGCACGAGUGGCGAACGGGUGAGUAAUACGUGAGUAACCUGCCCUUGACUCUGGGAUAACUUCAGGAAACUGGGGCUAAUACUGGAUAGGAGCUCCUGCCGCAUGGUGGGGGGUGGAAAGUUUCGGCGGUUGGGGAUGGACUAGAGGCUCUUUCGGUUGGUGGUGGGGGAGUGGUCUACCAAGGGAGUAGAGGGUAGCCGGCCUGGGAGGGUGACCGGCCACAUGGGGACUGAGAAAGGGCCCAGCCUCCACGGGGAGGCAGCGGUGGGAAUUAUUGCACAAUGGGGAGAGGCCUGUUGAGGGAACCCGGCGUGCGGAUGACCGGCCUUCGGGUGUUAAACCGCUUUCGCAGGUAAGGAGGCGUGAGUGACGGUACCGGGAAAAGAAGCACCGGCUAACUACGUG